rnacentral:rRNA from 1 species
GAUGAACGCUGACAGAAUGCUUAACACAUGCAAGUCGAUUCGAUUUACCUUCGGGUAUUGAGGAUGGCGGACGGGUGAGUAACGCGUAAGGAACUUGCCUCUUGGUCUGGGACAACUGUUGGAAACGACAGCUAAUACCGGAUAUUAUGAGAUUCUCGCAUGGGAAACUUAUGAAAGCUAUAUGCGCCAAGAGAGAGCCUUGCGUUCCAUUAGCUAGUUGGUGGGGUAAUGGCCCACCAAGGCGACGAUGGAUAGCCGGCCUGAGAGGGUGAACGGCCACAAGGGGACUGAGACACGGCCCUUACUCCUACGGGAGGCAGCAGUGGGGAAUAUUGGACAAUGGGCCACAAGCCUGAUCCAGCAAUUCUGUGUGCACGAUGAAGGUCUUCGGAUUGUAAAGUGCUUUCAGUUGGGAAGAAGAAAGUGACGGUACCAACAGAAGAAGCGACGGCUAAAUACGUGCCAGCAGCCGCGGUAAUACGUAUGUCGCAAGCGUUAUCCGGAUUUAUUGGGCGUAAAGCGCGUCUAGGCGGAAAAAUAAGUCUGAUGUUAAAAUGCGGGGCUCAACUCCGUAUUGCGUUGGAAACUGUUUUUCUAGAGUACUGNNGANGUGGGCGGAACUACAAGUGUAGAGGUGAAAUUCGUAGAUAUUUGUAGGAAUGCCGAUGGAGAAGUCAGCUCACUGGACAG